GAUGAACGCUGGCGGCGUGCCUAAUACAUGCAAGUCGAACGCUGGAGGAGGAGCUUGCUCUUCUGGAUGAGUUGCGAACGGGUGAGUAACGCGUAGGUAACCUGCCUGGUAGCGGGGGAUAACUAUUGGAAACGAUAGCUAAUACCGCAUGACAACAGUUAUUGCAUGAUAACUGUUUAAAAGGGGCAACUGCUCCACUACCAGAUGGACCUGCGUUGUAUUAGCUAGUUGGCGAGGUAACGGCUCACCAAGGCGACGAUACAUAGCCGACCUGAGAGGGUGAUCGGCCACACUGGGACUGAGACACGGCCCAGACUCCUACGGGAGGCAGCAGUAGGGAAUCUUCGGCAAUGGACGGAAGUCUGACCGAGCAACGCCGCGUGAGUGAAGAAGGUUUUCGGAUCGUAAAGCUCUGUUGUAAGAGAAGAACGAGUGUGAGAGUGGAAAGUUCACACUGUGACGGUAUCUUACCAGAAAGGGACGGCUAACUACGUG
rnacentral:rRNA from 1 species